rnacentral:rRNA from 1 species
UACGUAGGGGGCUAGCGUUGUCCGGAAUCAUUGGGCGUAAAGAGCGUGUAGGCGGUCCGGUAAGUCCGCUGUGAAAGUCGGGGGCUCAACCCUCGAAUGCCGGUGGAUACUGUCGGGCUAGAGUGCGGAAGAGGCGAGUGGAAUUCCUGGUGUAGCGGUGAAAUGCGCAGAUAUCAGGAGGAACACCGAUGGCGAAGGCGGCUCUCUGGGGACGGUACUGACGCUGAGACGCGAAAGCGUGGGG